CACCGCAAGGACUGGAGAAGGGCACCCUUGGAAAUGCAAUGCUACAUCUCAAUGGGAUUUUCCAGUACAAAGAUUCUUUUCAAAUAACAUAAUUGUGGAUACACACCACUCCUACAGUGGUAAACCUCAGGUUCUCCUCCUGCCUUUUGCUAAGUAUAUGUCUUGAUGACAAGCCUUCUGCUGAUGAGCUGUGUUUCUGGACCGAUCAUGGUAGAAGUCAAUUAACGUGUCCCUCACUUGGGGUUUCUCAAGGCUGCACUGAUGAGGAAACUGAAACAGAAAAUCCAGAGUAAAUUCCACCAGGCCACACAGCAAGGUCUGAUAGAGCCAGGAGAGACUUUAUGAAAUCCAGACUCUCACACUAAUGCUCUAUCAGCUAGACCUCCAUGUGAGUCUCCCCAAUGUAGGUAGGAAGUGCUUUCCCUAAAAUGCUCAUAAAGCAAAUCAGAGCAAUGCUGCAUUCCAUGUGAUUUCUAAUUUGAAAUGCAAACAAUUGCCAAUUUGUUUGACUUGUAUUUAUAAUUAUUUCCUUGUGAAUUACUCAUCACUAAAUGCUUUAUAAAUAUUUUCUCUUUUUUUCCUCAAUGUCUAUGGAAUGAUCACAGCAUAGAAAAUGUUGGCUUUCAAGGAUUUAUUAAUAUCUCCUUUUGAAAUAACAUGUAUUUGUAAGACAGAAUAAAAUCACUUUAAAGAAACAAA
rnacentral:lncRNA from 10 species